rnacentral:rRNA from 1 species
UUCGGCCGGUAGUAAAGUGGCGGACGGGUGCGUAACACGUGGAUAAUCUGCCCUUCGGCGGGGGAUAACAGUCCGAAAGGAUUGCUAAUACCGCAUUCGUCAGUCGGGUCUUCGGACCUGAUUGGGAAAGAUGGCCUCUUCAUGAAAGCUAUCACCGGAGGAUGAGUCCGCGGCCCAUCAGCUUGUUGGCGGGGUAAUGGCCCACCAAGGCUUAGACGGGUAGCUGGUCUGAGAGGAUGAUCAGCCACACUGGAACUGAGACACGGUCCAGACUCCUACGGGAGGCAGCAGUGGGGAAUAUUGGGCAAUGGGCGCAAGCCUGACCCAGCCAUGCCGCGUGAGUGAUGAAGGCCUUCGGG